CUUUUGAGGGAGAGGUUUGCAUCUGUGGAGGAAAUGAAGUGAAGUAAACAACAGAUAGAAACAGGCUUUCUUUGAAGCCCCCCUUGUUGGGACCUGGGAAAGAUGAAUUGAGAGUCUGACAAUUUAAAGCUCUGACAGAAAUAUUUACUGCUGGCUACGAUUUAUUUUUUUCUGAAGGCUGCUACCUGUGAGGUUUCAUCUGCAUAGUUGCUAACUUUGGAGGAAGCCAGCUGCCAUGUCACAAAAAGAUUCAGGAAGCCAUGUGGAGAGGCCCACAUCAUGAGGAACUGAGGUCUUUGCCAAUUACCAGCAAGGAAAUGAGGCCUCCUGCCAACAGCCACGUGAGUAUCCUACCUUGGAAAUGGACCCUCUAACUUCAAUCAGCCUUCAAAUAACUGCAGCCCCAGUUGAUGGCUUGACUGCAACCUUAGGAGAAACCCUGAGCCAAAAACAUUGAGGAAAAACACCCCCAGAUUCCUAUCAGAAAUUGUGUAAGAUAAUAAAUGUUUGUUGUUUUAAGCUGCU
rnacentral:lncRNA from 1 species